UACAGGGGGUGCAAACGUUGCUCGGAAUUAUUGGGCUUAAAGCGCGCGUAGGCGGCUUUUCAAGUCGGAUGUGAAAUCCCUCGGCUUAACCAAGGAAGUGCAUCCGAAACUGGAGAGCUUGAGUACUUAAGAGGAUCGCGGAAUUCCCGAUGUAGAGGUGAAAUUCGUAGAUAUCGGGAGGAACACCAGUGGCGAAGGCGGCGAGCUGGGAAGAUACUGACGCUGAGGUGCGAAAGCGUGGGGAGCAAACAGG
rnacentral:rRNA from 1 species